UAAUAGUCCACCAAAGUGAUGCACUGUCCAGGGCAAAAAGAAGAUAAAUUAGGAGAUAGAAAGGGAGGGAGGGGGGAGCAGCUAUAGAGAUCAGACACCACUCAGUUUUAAGAUUAGGGCUGCUGCAGAACUGUUUUACAACAGAAAUACAAGGUUUUAUCCAGUAUAUCAACUUGGCCAAAGGGAGACAUUACCUCAUGUUUGAAAGAGCCUAUCUGAGAGCAGGCCUGAUGGAGGGCAUCAAAGAUCUCGGUAUGGGUCUUGUUUUCAGCAAGGUAAUCAAGUGCCUGUGUAGCAAACUCCUCACACAAUGUACAAACUCUGUCAUUACCUGAAACUUCUUUCAAACUUUGAACUUCACUUAGUUCACUAUCUUGAUCCUGAUAGUUGGUUUGUAUAA